rnacentral:rRNA from 1 species
AGUGAACGCUGGCGGUAGGCCUAACACAUGCAAGUCGAACGGCAGCACAGUAAGAGCUUGCUCUUACGGGUGGCGAGUGGCGGACGGGUGAGGAAUACAUCGGAAUCUACUUUUUCGUGGGGGAUAACGUAGGGAAACUUACGCUAAUACCGCAUACGACCUACGGGUGAAAGCAGGGGAUCUUCGGACCUUGCGCGAUUGAAUGAGCCGAUGUCGGAUUAGCUAGUUGGCGGGGUAAAGGCCCACCAAGGCGACGAUCCGUAGCUGGUCUGAGAGGAUGAUCGGCCACACUGGAACUGAGACACGGUCCAGACUCCUACGGGAGGCAGCAGUGGGGAAUAUUGGACAAUGGGCGCAAGCCUGAUCCAGCCAUACCGCGUGGGUGAAGAAGGCCUUCGGGUUGUAAAGCCCUUUUGUUGGGAGAGAAAAGCAGCAGGUUAAUACCCAGCUGUUCUGACGGUACCCAAAGAAUAAGCACCGGCUAACUUCGUG